rnacentral:rRNA from 1 species
UACGUAGGGUGCAAGCGUUAAUCGGAAUUACUGGGCGUAAAGCGUGCGCAGGCGGUUGUGCAAGACAGAUGUGAGAUCCCCGGGCUCAACCUGGGAAUUGCAUUUGUGACUGCACGGCUAGAGUGUGUCAGAGGGGGGUAGAAUUCCACGUGUAGCAGUGAAAUGCGUAGAGAUGUGGAGGAAUACUGAUGGCGAAGGCAGCCCCCUGGGAUAACACUGACGCUCAUGCACGAAAGCGUGGGGAGCAAACAGG